rnacentral:rRNA from 1 species
AACGUAGGAGGCAAGCGUUAUCCGGAUUUAUUGGGCGUAAAGCGCAUGUAGGCGGCUUCGUAAGUCGGGCGUGAAAUCUCCUGGCUCAACUAGGAGGGGUCGUUCGAUACUGCGAGGCUUGAGGGCAGGAGAGGGAAGUGGAAUUCCCGGUGUAGUGGUGGAAUACGUAGAUAUCGGGAGGAACACCAGUGGCGAAGGCGGCUUCCUGGCCUGCCCCUGACGCUGAGAUGCGAAAGCGUGGGGAGCAAACGGGAUUAGAUACCCGCGUA